rnacentral:rRNA from 1 species
GUAGGUGGCAAGCGUUGUCCGGGAAUUAUUGGGGCGUAAAGCGCGCGCAGGCGGUUCUUUAAGUCUGAUGUGAAAGCCCACGGGCUCAACCGUGGAGGGUCAUUGGAAACUGGAGAACUUGAGUACAGAAGAGGAAAGCGGAAUUCCACGUGUAGCGGUGAAAUGCGUAGAGAUGUGGAGGAACACCAGUGGCGAAGGCGGCUUUCUGGUCUGUAACUGACGCUGAGGCGCGAAAGCGUGGGGAGCAAACAGGAUUAGAUACCCUGGUAGUCCACGCCGUAAACGAUGAGUGCUAAGCGUUAGGGGGUUUCCGCCCCUUAGUGCUGCAGCUAACGCAUUAAGCACUCCGCCUGGGGAGUACGGCCGCAAAGGCUGA